GACGACGCUGGCGGCGUGCCUAAUACAUGCAAGUCGAGCGGGGAUUAUGCUUGAUCGCUUCGGUGAGACGGCAUAUAUCCUAGCGGCGGACGGGUGAGUAACGCGUGGGUAAUCUACCUCGUAGUUCGGGAUAACAGGCCGAAAGGCUUGCUAAUACCGGAUGAGUUCAUGCUUAUGCAUAUAGGCAUGAAGAAAGGGCUAGCCCGCUAUGAGAUGAGCCCGCGUCCCAUUAGCUUGUUGGUGGGGUAACGGCCUACCAAGGCAACGAUGGGUAGCCGGCCUGAGAGGGUGUACGGCCACACUGGGACUGAGACACGGCCCAGACUCCUACGGGGGCAGCAGUAGGGAAUUUUCGGCAAUGGGCGAAAGCCUGACCGAGCGACGCCGCGUGAGGGACGAAGGCCUUCGGGCUGUAAACCUCUGUCUGGGGGGAUGAGAACGGACGGUACCCCCGGAGGAAGCCCCGGCUAACUACGUG
rnacentral:rRNA from 1 species